rnacentral:rRNA from 1 species
GAGAUCCUACGGGACGCAGCAGUGAGGAAUAUUGGUCAAUGGGCGCGAGCCUGAACCAGCCAAGUCGCGUGAGGGAUGACGGUCCUACGGAUUGUAAACCUCUUUUGCCGGGGAGCAAGCGUGCGUUCGUGAACGCGCGUCGAGAGUACCCGGAGAAAAAGCAUCGGCUAACUCCGUGCCAGCAGCCGCGGUAAUACGGAGGAUGCGAGCGUUAUCCGGAUUUAUUGGGCGUAAAGGGAACGCAGGCGGUCUUUUAAGUCUGAUGUGAAAGCCUUCGGCUUAACCGGAGUAGUGCAUUGGAAACU